rnacentral:lncRNA from 1 species
GUCUACAUUCUGAGCAGACUUCCUCAUGAAGUUGUGUCAGAUUAAUGAUGAUCCUGCCUUGUUACUUAUUUCAUUGGAACAACCCCUAAAUAAAAAUAAUUAAAAGCUGAUC